AGUGAACGCUGGCGGCAUGCCUAACACAUGCAAGUCGAACGGUAACAGGCCCGCAAGGGUGCUGACGAGUGGCGGACGGGUGAGGAAUACAUCGGAAUUUGCCCAGUCGUGGGGGAUAACGUAGGGAAACUUACGCUAAUACCGCAUACGACCUAACGGUGAAAGCGGGGGAUCGCAAGACCUCGCGCGGAUGGAUAAGCCGAUGUCGGAUUAGCUAGUUGGCGGGGUAAAGGCCCACCAAGGCGACGAUCCGUAGCUGGUCUGAGAGGAUGAUCAGCCACACUGGGACUGAGACACGGCCCAGACUCCUACGGGAGGCAGCAGUGGGGAAUAUUGGACAAUGGGGCAACCUGAUCCAGCAAUGCCGCGUGUGU
rnacentral:rRNA from 1 species